rnacentral:lncRNA from 1 species
UUACUGUUUACACAGUACGACAUGGCUAAAAUGGUUGUUCGAUAUUGUAUUAUUGUUUUAUGGAUUUUUUGUUAUUUAGACCGCAAGGCAAAGUAGAAAUGACACAGACAGACAGUGAUUUUGUUGUUCAAGAUUAAAUUAUGUUGGUGUCGGGCAGAAAGUGCAACAAAUUUUGAGAAAACAGCCAACUGUGUUUGUUGUUAUUUGAAUUAGCAUUAUUAAUGAGGAUCUGAUGGUUCAUAACUGCAACUAUUACCUCAAAUGCCCAAUAACUGUGACAGAAUCAGUUUACUUCUAUGCACACCCGCAAUUCACUGCUUCAUAAAAAUGUGUUUUUUGUAAUCAUUGCAAAUUAUUUUCAUUUAUCUGUUAACUUCUUCAUUUAUUCACAGAUUAGCAAAGGCCAAAGGGACAGCCCACAAAUAUAGAAUGCACCACAUUACCACAUAUUCAAAUAUUUCAAAACAGAUGUUGAACCUGUUCAAAGUAAACUCUUGAAAGGAAUGCUGCAUACUUCAAUUUUGUUCAACCUCAUGAGGUCUGAACAGGCAAUGAGACGGCAGUUAGGCAUCAACGUCUGCACACAUCAGUGAGACCUGUGAGUCAAGUGACAACAUUUCAGUUGUUUGCACAUUGUUUCCCCUUGAGGAGAACAUCAAAACCAGAAAUGGAUUAACUUUACUUUCUGUUCCAUUUGGAUCCGAAAAUCGAUGUGAGUCAACGAUGGAUAACACUACCUUUAAUUAAGUCAAACAUGGUAAUCGUGGAGGAAUCUUUUGGCUCCGUCAGUAGGUGGCUAAAUCAAGUUGUCCCCCAGCCGCCAGAUGACGCGAGUGUCUUUGACAGGACGAAAUAUUCGCCAUUCUGUAAUUCUGUUCCGAAACGCCAAGUGAAAAGGUAUUCCAAAUUCGUUACGGAAUUGCGGUGUCGAUCUACAUUUUCAAUUCGAUCAACAUUGAAAUUUAAUGAAAUAUCGUCCGUUGUUAGCUGUUCCUGUCGGAUGUACGUAUCAUCUCACGCCGAACACUACAGAGUUGGUGUUCAGGUUGGAGAUCCUGUUGCUUAACUGUUGCAGAUUGUGAGAACUCGAAAAAUUCGGAGCCCCAUGGCUGGCAUCAUGGCCACAGUGGUUUUGUUGCAGCCAGCUGGUGAAAGGUGUGAUCGAGUCAAGUUGAGUUGCAGCAUGCUGCCUGCAGUUUAUUGAGCUGGUGUUAUCCUGAAGUGUCAUUGCCGGAAGACUUUUUGAAAUGGACUUGGUGAUACUUAAACUAUGCCUGUGUAGUUCAAUGUGCAGUGGUUUUGCCGCCUGUUUCCAGUUGAGAGAUGUGAUUAUGCAGCUGAUACAGGAGUGAAGAAAGAGAACUGAAGUAGCUGUGCUGGUGUUCUCCUGAAAUUGCUGUGCCACAGGAGUUGCAGAUAGUGUUUGGAUUCUCAUAGAAGUUUAUUUAAAGAGUCUGGAGAUAAUCAGCCACUUCUGCUAAUAGGCUAACUUGUGUG